GACGAACCGUGCGAACGUUGUUCGGAAUCACUGGGCGUAAAGCGCACGUAGGCGGAUUGCUAAGUCAGGGGUGAAAUCCUGGAGCUCAACUCCAGAACUGCCUUUGAUACUGGCGAUCUCGAGUCCGGGAGAGGUGAGUGGAACUGCGAGUGUAGAGGUGAAAUUCGUAGAUAUUCGCAAGAACACCAGUGGCGAAGGCGGCUCACUGGCCCGGUACUGACGCUGAGGUGCGAAAGCGUGGGGAGCAAACAGG
rnacentral:rRNA from 1 species